rnacentral:rRNA from 1 species
CCUACGGGUGGCAGCAGUAGGGAAUGUUAGUCAAUGGGCGCAAGCCUGAACGAGCAAUGCCGCGUGAAGGAGGAAGGUAUUCGGAUCGUAAAGUUCUGUUGAAGGGGAAAAAGAGCGGAGAGAGGAAAUGGUCUCCGAUUGAUAUUACCCUACGAGGAAGUCACGGCUAACUACGUGCCAGCAGCCGCGGGAAUACGUAGGGAGGAAGCGUUGUCCGGAAUUACUGGGCGUAAAGCGCUCGUAGGCGGUAUGUCAAGUCAAGGGUGAAAUCCCCGCGCUCAACGUGGGAACUGCCUUUGAAACUGGCAAACUGGAGUGUGUGAGAGGAUAGUGGAAUUCCAGGUGUAGGAGUGAAAUGCGUAGAUAUCUGGAGGAACAUCAGUGGCGAAGGCGACUAUCUGGCACAUAACUGACGCUGAGGAGCGAAAGCGUGGGUAGCAAACAGGAUUAGAUACCCUUGUAGUC